rnacentral:rRNA from 1 species
UACGUAGGGCGCAAGCGUUGUCCGGAAUUACUGGGCGUAAAGGGCUCGUAGGCGGCCAACUAAGUCAUACGUGAAAUCCCUCAGCUUAACUGGGGAACUGCGUGUGAUACUGGAUGGCUUGGAUUUGGGAGAGGGAUGCGGAAUUCCAGGUGUAGCGGUGAAAUGCGUAGAUAUCUGGAGGAACACCGGUGGCGAAGGCGGCAUCCUGGACCAAUAUUGACGCUGAGGAGCGAAAGCUAGGGGAGCAAACGGG